ACGGAAGGCAGCAGUGAGGAAUAUUGGUCAAUGGGCGGAAGCCUGAACCAGCCAAGUCGCGUGAAGGAUGAAGGUAUUAUGUAUUGUAAACUUCUUUAGUCGUAGAGAAAUAAGGUGCUCGUGAGCACUGAUGCUAGUAUACGAAGAAUAAGGAUCGGCUAACUCCGUGCCAGCAGCCGCGGUAAUACGGAGGAUCCGAGCGUUAUCCGGAUUUAUUGGGUUUAAAGGGUGCGCAGGCGGCUUUUUAAGUCAGUGGUCAAAUCGGGGGGCUCAACCCCAUCCCGCCAUUGAUACUGGAGAGCUUGAUUGCGGUCGAGGUUGGCGGAAUUCGUCGUGUAGCGGUGAAAUGCAUAGAUAUGACGAAGAACACCGAUUGCGUAGGCAGCUGACCAGGCCGUAAAUGACGCUCAUGCACGAAAGUGCGGGGAUCGAACAGGAUUAGAUACCCUGGUA
rnacentral:rRNA from 1 species